rnacentral:lncRNA from 1 species
ACUUCCAAGAUGGCGUCUUCACUCACAUAUCUGGAACCUCGGUGCUCCUUGUCCUUCACGCUCCAUUUGGUGCCUUAUUUUCCAGGCCCUCUUCCCUCAGGUAGCCUGGGCUUUCUCACAGCAUGGUGGCAUCAGGGUUGUAGGAUUUCUUACAAGGCACUGACUUGUAGAAAGUUUUCAGGAGCUCCGAAUGAGGAGAUUCAAGGGCUCUGACGACCAACCGUCGGCUGUCCCAGUACGUCACUUCUUCCACAUUCUAAUGGUCAGAGUAGUCACUAAGGCCAGUCCAGGUUCGCGGAAGGAAAAUUAGAUUCCACGUCUCUAUGGGAGGACUAGCCACACUAAGCCACUGCGCUGGUUUAGAACUGUCUGAAGUCCCUCCUAGAGGUCGUGUGUUUGAUUCUGCAUCUCCGUGAUUUGUGAAUCUUGCAUCAUUUAAAUUCAGCCUUACACACUGAUGCCUUUGGUGCCGUCCCAAUAUUUAGGUAGCAAACUCGUAGUGGGUAGAGAUUCAGGCUUAAGCUUCCAGCCUGGCUCUGAGGAGAACUGUCUGGGGCUCCCUGCCCUCUUCCCCAUGGAUGAGACUCUUCCCAGCCUUGGGCAAACACAGCGGGGAGCUGGCACCAUCUCCCGCUAGACACCUCCUCCUUUUCCUCUUGCCCUUACCAUGACUCCCGAGUUAUUCUCAGAAGUAAAAGCUUUCCACGCCUGCUCUUCUCUCCUGCAGCCAGGAGUGCAAAUUUAGAUAUUGGAGCUGCUCAGGCAGAAAAAUGGCCCUGGAAUCAGGGAAGCAGAAACCUGCAGCUGCCACGAAAGGACCGCGGAGAUGAAGACCCGGAAGCUUGCAUGUGUUGAAGCCCGGGGUGUGGGGGACUGUGGUCACGUACUCGAGGGGGCUUCAGAGACCUCUGGGAAGCCCUUUCUGCCCACUCGAAGCCUGCCCCUGUGCCUGACAAUCUUCCAUCGGGAGCGAUGUCAUAAAGAAGAAAUGGAAUUCAGUGGGAAGAGUGGUGGACUCGGGGACAAAAGAUCUGGGUUUGCGCCCUGGCUCUGACCUAACUCACCAGCAUUAUUGGAGGCACGUUAGUCUUCUCAGGUCAAAGCUUCCAUCUCUCCCUGUUUCAUGAACUUAACUUCUGAGGAGUACUGGUCAGGUGUUCUGUAGGAUGUCCACCUGCUGUUGGUCUGAUGCUUUUCACAUGAGGAUUCUGGGGUGAUGCUUCCCAAGAAGAAGACCUGAGGUGAAGCAUCUUUCUCGUCUCCCAGCCUCCUGCCUCCCAAAUGGUAUUGACCUUGAUCACUCAGCUAAGGUGGCAGCUGCCAGAUUGCUCCAUUGUAGAGCUAUAAUUUUCAUCCUUUUCUUAUUUUUAGGGAGGUGGGGAGGAGAGAAAAGGAAUAUUAAGCUCCACCUCCUGGAUGGGGUUGUAUUGACUUAUGUUAUUUGGGUUUCUUCUGUAAGGAAGAUUUGUCUCUUUCCCCCCUUAAUUCCUUUGGUAAAAAUAAUUUCUCAACAUCUGCUAAAUAGCUUUCUCCAAGAUGGAUGAAGACAUGCUCCAUCAAUUGGUACUUGCCUCAAAGUCGAGUUUUAUUCAAGUUAAACUGAAGUCACUGCAAAUUCAAGCAAGAUCCCAAUAUCGACUAAGUUCCUUCUCAGAAGUCCUCCCCCAGGGUCAGGCAGAGGGGGAACUGGGUGGUGUUUCAGAUGUGGCUUUUCAAGCUGUGGCCAGAUUGGCAGCAUCAGCAUCACCUGUUGCCUUGAAAACUGCUUGAUAUGAAUGACUGCAAGAUCUGCUGUUAGUCCCCAGAGCUGCCUUUUACUUCUUUGGAGAAGCUGGGACUGAGGUUGCGUAUUUGGGCAGGGCUCAGCUGUGUGGUUCUUCUACCCUAUGUCACCUGGAGUUAAUGCAUGCUUACAUUUAGCUGGUGAUUCAGAUGGAACACUACGAUGGCCUCUCACCCCCCAGGGUCUCUCUGUAUGUGGCCUCUCAUCAUUGAGCGGUUCAGCUUGGACUUCCUUACAGCAUGGCAUCUGGGCUGCAAGAAGGGAAAGAUGCAGCUGCAAACCUUAAGGGCUGAAGUCUCAAGACAUCACCUCCACUACAAUCUAUUGGCUAAAGCAAAUCCCAGGGCCAGUCCAGACUCAGGAGUAGGAGAAAAUAUUAAUAACGCCUCUUGCUAUGAAGAGUGGCAAGUGUAUACAGGGAGGAGAGGAAGUGCCGGUGGCCAUUUUUGGAAACCAUUAACAUAUAAUUGCAGAUAGUGAUACACUCAGCAAUGAAUAUUAAGCCUAGUAAAGGGAAAGUCUAGAAGGGCUUUCAGGAGGAUUUAUCUUCUGGGCCGGAUCCUGCCUAGGAAAGGCUCAUGCAUCCUUCCUACAAAAGAGGCACUGACACUUCUGAUUAAGGUAGGAUAAGCUGUCACUUGUUGGUAAAGUUUCUACCAGUCUCUAACCCAUUGAAGGAGAAUAUUUUGCUUUCUUCUCUCAGAUCUUGUGGAUGUGCUGUGGAAAUGGAGAACCUUAACCAUUGCAUAGAAUGGACUUGGGGCAAGUUCCUGAGCUAUAAGUUACAUAGCUCAGAAGUAGCAGAGCCAGGAUCCAACACCUGUUUUGCCAUACAUCAAAUGGGGACAAUAGAAGUAACUGAUAUUAACCUAGGGCUGAAAUAAGGCAUGUCUGCUGCUUGGUGGUUGCAGUCACAGUCACAGGAAGUUUUAAAGGCACUGUAGCCAAGAGUUUGGCUUCCUCCUCACAGGUCUCUUGGGGUGGCCCUGUCCUCCCUCUUGUUUCCUUGGCACAGCAGGGUCUAGACCCUCUACUCAGCCAUACACAGGAGCCAGGCUGCUGGAAAACAUACCCCCAGCCCCAACUGCUUUGUCCAGUCUUGGGGGAGGUGGGAAAUGUACACACCUAGAAGUGAUGAUGGUAUUUCUCCUGCAGGUUCCCAUGAAAAGCAGCAUCCCAGUGAAGUCAAAGCCCUGGAACCAUCCUCUUCAUCUGUGUUGCUGCUGAGAGAUCAGAAGUCUACCUCUGGAGAUAGAAUCCUUGUCUGCUGCUGGGAUGGAGGGAAGUGCUAACAUUCCACUAGAAAGUGGGUUCUUCCAUGGAGGGACAGAAUUUGAUUCUUGCUGCUUAUACAAAGUAGGUGUUCACAAGGCACUUGUGAACAGCUAGCUCUGCAGAACAAGUCUCCAUCAUCUCGUUGCAGGCUGCUUACCUGCUGGGAGUGGCAUCCUGGGGCCUUCCUCUCUGGCCACCCUAGACUUUGGUUUUAAUUGCUCCUGAGUCUCCCUUCUUCCUGCCGGCUGGCCCUGCGGUCUGUCACCUACGGGACGGCCAACGUCAGAGCUGGGUGACCUUUCAAAGACACCAGGAUUUGUUUAAUUUUCAGAAUUCACCUCUCUUCAUCCUUUUUAUCAGAGGCAGUUAGGGCCCAGCUGGGGAGGCUAUUUGGCAUUUUUCCCUGUAUUUUGAAACAGGUGGGCUGGGGCCUUCUCAAGUGGAGUCUUUUCAACUGAGAGAACUAGAAAGACAGACAAUGAUAGAAUGGGGUGGGGGUGGAGUAGAAUUACCAAGAGAACCAAACAUACAUUAAGUUAUUUUAACACCUGACUCAUUUUCAUGAAAGUCUUCAUUACUGCAUCUUCUGUCUCCAAGGUUUUCUACACACAUAAUUGCAGCUUGUGUUUACAAAGUCAUUACCACAUGCCAAGCACGUCACAUGUCUCGCUUCAUGUAACCUUCACAGCAGCACCUUGAGGUUCUGUUAUCUCCGUUUUACAGGUAGGUAAGGUUAGUUAUUGCCCAAAGCCAUACAGUGUGUUGAGGGGCCAGAGUUUAAACACAGCUCUGUAGACUCAGUCUGUCCACGAAGCAAGAGUAUGUGCAAACCUCACCUGAUCCUCACAAUAACCUUGGAAAAGAAAUGUAUCCUCCCAUCUGAUAGAGUCCGAGUAGUCUCAGCUGCUAUAAUUGUUAUUCCUUCUGUGCUCAACAUUUGUUGGCUGGGUGACUUGAAAGCUGAAGUGAGAAAAACAGUACCUGGAACAUGGAGUAAAAACCCUUUAACAUAUGGGAAUCUACUAAACCCCAUCAGGUCAGUGAAAUAGGUACUAUUAUCACCAUUUUACAGGAGAAAAAA